ensembl:lncRNA
GUCUGUGCUGGGUCUUCGUUGUUGCUCGGGCUUUUCUCUAGUUGUGGUGAGCAGGGGCUUCUCUUGUUGUGGAGCAUGGGCUCUAGAGCACUGGCUUAAUAGUUGUGACCAGGGGCUUAGUUGCCCUGCGGCACAUGGGACCUUUCUGGACCAGGGAUGGGACCUUCCUGGACCAGGGAUGGGACCUUCCUGGACCAGGGAUCGAACCCAUGUCUCCUGCAUUGGUAGGUGGAUUCUUUACCACUGAGCCACCAGGGAAGCCCUACUCCUAUUAUCUUUGCGCUACUUCGUUCUUUCGUUCAAAACACUCUCUGCAUCAUGAGGGAGUGUUUGUGGAUGGCUUUUGCACCUCCAGCCUCUUUGCAGUUACCCUAACUCAGUAUGUAGUUGUGGCCUCCCCUGCUGACCCCAAGGUAUGAUGGUCCCUCCUCCCUCCCUGGCACUGCCCUCAUGCUCUGUCGAGGCAGGGGCCACUCUGCCACACCUCUCUGCUCAAUGUUGCACCUAACCCACCAGGCUGGUCCACCCCUGCUGCCCACCCACUGCACAGGCUGGCAGGUGGGAGCUCUGCCCUAGUGGUACCAGCUGCCAUAUCAACCUAACCCAUCAAGAGCUGUCUGGGAUGGGGCCAGCGGCAGGCUGAGCCCAGGGCGCCUGCCGCCUCAGACAGUGAUCCCUGUGCCUGCAUGCCUCGCUCCAUCCAGGGCUGGAGGAUCACGAUGCUGGAGCAGCCAGGUACUGCUUUGGACCCUGCUGCUUUCUGGAGUCACACCUUUCUGCUCAUGGUGCAUUGGUAGCCAGGCAGGCACCAACUAUAGAAGCCCCGCGCAGCUUCUGUAGUGAUCCCACAGCGAGCCCUCCCCCAAGCAAGUGACUGUUGAUGAGCAAGGGUCAACCCGUGACCGUUAGUGGUUCAGCUCUGCUAUUGGUCAGUAUCACAGUGGGUCCCUCCCCCUCCCCCAUAUACUAAAGGAGCCUGAAUUUGGACUGAGGGAAGAUAGUUUUUGAGAAGCUACUCUGCCAUCUCCCUUGGCUAGCUUUCUGAUUAAAGUCGUUAUUCCUUAUUCCAACAACUCCUCUCCUGAUUUGUUAGCCUGUUGGGCGGUGAGCAGAAUGAGCUUGGGCUGGGUAACAAAUACAGCUGGUGGCUUUACUUGCUACUGAGUUGUAAGUAAAGGAGAAUUUCUCAGACUUCCCUUUCUCUCCUGUUUCACACACAGUCUACAGAGGCUGGACUGUCUGGAGUGGAGCAGCAGAGCAGCAGGUGGGCUAGGAAGCAAGCGGGAGGCAGGUGUGCAGAGGGCACGAGUGAUACACGAGAAAGAAUCGGUAAGGAAGACGACAAAACAGUAAGUGUGAU